rnacentral:rRNA from 1 species
CAGGGCGGGAGCUAUACAUGCAGUCGAGCGGACAGAUGGGAGCUUGCUCCCUGAUGUUAGCGGCGGACGGGUGAGUAACACGUGGGUAACCUGCCUGUAAGACUGGGAUAACUCCGGGAAACCGGGGCUAAUACCGGAUGGUUGUUUGAACCGCAUGGUUCAAACAUAAAAGGUGGCUUCGGCUACCACUUACAGAUGGACCCGCGGCGCAUUAGCUAGUUGGUGAGGUAACGGCUCACCAAGGCAACGAUGCGUAGCCGACCUGAGAGGGUGAUCGGCCACACUGGGACUGAGACACGGCCCAGACUCCUACGGGAGGCAGCAGUAGGGAAUCUUCCGCAAUGGACGAAAGUCUGACGGAGCAACGCCGCGUGAGUGAUGAAGGUUUUCGGAUCGUAAAGCUCUGUUGUUAGGGAAGAACAAGUACCGUUCGAAUAGGGCGGUACCUUGACGGUACCUAACCAGAAAGCCACGGCUAACUACGUGCCAGCAGCCGCGGUAAUACGUAGGUGGCAAGCGUUGUCCGGAAUUAUUGGGCGUAAAGGGCUCGCAGGCGGUUUCUUAAGUCUGAUGUGAAAGCCCCCGGCUCAACCGGGGAGGGUCAUUGGAAACUGGGGAACUUGAGUGCAGAAGAGGAGAGUGGAAUUCCACGUGUAGCGGUGAAAUGCGUAGAGAUGUGGAGGAACACCAGUGGCGAAGGCGACUCUCUGGUCUGUAACUGACGCUGAGGAGCGAAAGCGUGGGGAGCGAACAGGAUUAGAUACCCUGGUAGUCCACGCCGUAAACGAUGAGUGCUAAGUGUUAGGGGGUUUCCGCCCCUUAGUGCUGCAGCUAACGCAUUAAGCACUCCGCCUGGGGAGUACGGUCGCAAGACUGAAACUCAAAGGAAUUGACGGGGGCCCGCACAAGCGGUGGAGCAUGUGGGUUUAAUUCGAAGCAACGCGAAGAACCCUUACCAGGUCUUGACAUCCUCUGACAUCCUAGAGAUAGGACGUCCCCUUCGGGGCAGAGUGACAGGUGGUGCAUGGUUGUCGUCAGCUCGUGUCGU